UACGUAGGGGGCUAGCGUUGUCCGGAAUCAUUGGGCGUAAAGCGCGCGUAGGCGGCCCGGUAAGUCCGCUGUGAAAGUCAAAGGCUCAACCUUUGAAUGUCAGCGGAUACUGCCGGGCUAGAGUCCGGAAGAGGCGAGUGGAAUUCCUGGUGUAGCGGUGAAAUGCGCAGAUAUCAGGAGGAACACCGAUGGCGAAGGCAGCUCACUGGGACGGUACUGACGCUGAGACGCGAAAGCGUGGGGAGCAAACAGG
rnacentral:rRNA from 1 species